rnacentral:rRNA from 1 species
UACGGGGGGGGCAAGCGUUGUUCGGAAUUACUGGGCGUAAAGGGCUCGUAGGCGGCCAACUAAGUCAGACGUGAAAUCCCUAGGCUCAACCUAGGAACUGCGUCUGAUACUGGAUGGCUUGAAUCCGGGAGAGGGAUGCAGAAUUCCAGGUGUAGCGGUGAAAUGCGUAGAUAUCUGGAGGAAUACCGGUGGCGAAGGCGGCAUCCUGGACCGGCAUUGACGCUGAGGAGCGAAAGCUAGGGAGCAACGGG